CCUACGGGCGGCUGCAGUGAGGAAUAUUGGUCAAUGGACGAGAGUCUGAACCAGCCAAGUAGCGUGAAGGAUGACUGCCCUAUGGGUUGUAAACUUCUUUUAUAAAGGAAUAAAACGAGGCACGUGUGCCUUUUUGCAUGUACUUUAUGAAUAAGGAUCGGCUAACUCCGUGCCAGCAGCCGCGGUAAUACGGAGGAUCCGAGCGUUAUCCGGAUUUAUUGGGUUUAAAGGGAGCGUAGAUGGGUUGUUAAGUCAGUUGUGAAAGUUUGCGGCUCAACCGUAAAAUUGCAAUUGAUACUGGCAGUCGUGAGUACAGUUGAGGUAGGCGGAAUUCGUGGUGUAGCGGUGAAAUGCUUAGAUAUCACGAAGAACCCCGAUUGCGAAGGCAGCUUACUAAACUGUGACUGACAUUGAUGCUCGAAAGUGUGGGUAUCAAACAGGAUUAGAUACCCGGGUAGUC
rnacentral:rRNA from 1 species